rnacentral:rRNA from 1 species
UACAGAGGGGGCAAGCGUUAUUCGGAAUUAUUGGGCGUAAAGGGCGCGUAGGCGGCCAUUCAAGUGACGGGUGAAAUCCCUCGGCUCAACCGAGGAACUGCCUGUCAGACUGGAUGGCUCGAGACCGGGAGAGGUGAGUGGAAUUCCCAGUGUAGCGGUGAAAUGCGUAGAUAUUGGGAGGAACACCAGUGGCGAAGGCGGCUCACUGGACCGGAACUGACGCUGAGGCGCGAAAGCGUGGGGAGCAAACAGG